rnacentral:misc_RNA from 1 species
UCUUUUCCUUUGAUAAGAGAGUUUUUAAAACCAGUGUUAUUUAUGUAAGUUUAAGAGAAGUUUAUGUAUUAAAUUAUUGAUAUUAAAUAGUUUUAUUAGGCUUAGACUUAAUUUUAGGUCAUUUUGGGGGUUUAGCUCAGUUGGCUAGAGCAUCGGCUUUGCAAGCCGAGGGUCAAGGGUUCGAGUCCCUUAACCUCCAUUGGGCUUAUGCCCUAAAUUGUAAUUAAGUAUGUUUUUAAGUAACUUUGUUAAAGUAAUUGUUGGAAUGUGAAACACAAGAAGUUAAAAUUUCUGGGUUAAGUUGAGAUCUGUUGAUAUUAAGAAAAAUGUCUAGAAGCAAAAGCAAGCUUUCGAUAAAACCCGAAGUUGUUUCGCUAAAGUGCAAGGAUUAAACAGGAUUGUAUUUUUCAGCAGCCUAUUUUAUAAACGAUCUGCAUUUAGUAAAUAGUUUUUAGUUAGGAAAUAAUGUAGAUUACUAAGUGUGAUGUC